CAAGACUACUAGAGCUAGAGAGUUGACAGUGAAGAUCAAUGCAGCCAGAAAGAGAGACCAAGAGCUGAGGACUAGAGUUCUUGAGCUUCAAAACCAGAUUAACAAGCUUUAUGAGGAGAUUGGUACUUUAAAGCAGGAGGCUUAUUCUAAUAAGAAUUUGGCAGAUACCAUUGCUCAAGAGUGGCAUGCGAAUUCAAGGGACUUUCAGACUUUAGCAACAUCAAUAGAAGCUGAACGCACAAUGGCACAACAAUGGUCUCAUCAGCGCCAACAAGCAAGUCAACUACUCCAAGCUUUUUCCAACCAAUGGGAUGCAUUGCGCUCCCUUCAAUUGUAGUACAUUUCUUUCAC
rnacentral:misc_RNA from 1 species